GCCCUAGUAACGGCGAGUGAAGCGGCAACAGCUCAAAUUUGAAAUCUGGCGCAAGCCCGAGUUGUAAUUUGUAGAGGAUGCUUCUAGGUAGCGACCGGUCUAAGUUCCUUGGAACAGGACGUCAUAGAGGGUGAGAAUCCCGUAUGUGACCGGCCCGCACCUUCUACGUAGCUCCUUCGACGAGUCGAGUUGUUUGGGAAUGCAGCUCUAAAUGGGAGGUAAAUUUCUUCUAAAGCUAAAUACCGGCCAGAGACCGAUAGCGCACAAGUAGAGUGAUCGAAAGAUGAAAAGCACUUUGGAAAGAGAGUUAAAAAGCACGUGAAAUUGUUGAAAGGGAAGCGCUUACAACCAGACUUCUGGGCGGUGUUCCGCCGGUCUUUUGACCGGUCUACUCGCCGUCCCGAGGCCAACAUCAUCUGGGACCGCUGGAUAAGACCUCAGGAAUGUAGCUUCCCUCGGGAAGUGUUAUAGCCUGUGGUGAUGCAGCGCGUCUCGGGUGAGGUCCGCGCUUCGGCAAGGAUGUUGGCGUAAUGGUUGUCAGCGGCCCGUCUUGAAACACGGACCAAGGAGUCUAACAUCUAUGCGAGUGUUCGGGUGUCAAACCCCUACGCGUAAUGAAAGUGAACGGAGGUGGGAAGCGUAAGCUGCACCAUCGACCGAUCCUGAUGUCCUCGGAUGGAUUUGAGUAAGAGCAUAGCUGUUGGGACCCGAAAGAUGGUGAACUAUGCCUGAAUAGGGUGAAGCCAGAGGAAACUCUGGUGGAGGCUCGCAGCGGUUCUGACGUGCAAAUCGAU
rnacentral:rRNA from 1 species